UACAGAGGUCUCCAGCGUUGUUCGGAUUCAUUUGGCGUAAAGGGUGCGUAGGUGGCGCCGUAAGUCAGGUGUGAAAUUUCGGAGCUUAACUCCGAAACUGCAUUUGAUACUGCGGUGCUUGAGGACUGGAGAGGAGACUGGAAUUCACGGUGUAGCAGUGAAAUGCGUAGAUAUCGUGAGGAAGACCAGUGGCGAAGGCGGGUCUCUGGACAGUUCCUGAUACUGAGGCACGAAGGCCAGGGGAGCAAACGGG
rnacentral:rRNA from 1 species